UGCAGUCGAACGAUGAUGCCCACUUGUGGGUGGAUUAGUGGCGAACGGGUGAGUAACACGUGAGUAACCUGCCCUUGACUCUGGGAUAAGCCUGGGAAACUGGGUCUAAUACCGGAUAUGACCUUCCAUCGCAUGGUGGUUGGUGGAAAGCUUUUGUGGUUUUGGAUGGACUCGCGGCCUAUCAGCUUGUUGGUGGGGUAAUGGCCUACCAAGGCGACGACGGGUAGCCGGCCUGAGAGGGUGACCGGCCACACUGGGACUGAGACACGGCCCAGACUCCUACGGGAGGCAGCAGUGGGGAAUAUUGCACAAUGGGCGGAAGCCUGAUGCAGCGACGCCGCGUGAGGGAUGACGGCCUUCGGGUUGUAAACCUCUUUCAGUAGGGAAGAAGCGUAAGUGACGGUACCUGCAGAAGAAGCGCCGGCUAACUACGUGCCAGCAGCCGCGGUAAUACGUAGGGCGCAAGCGUUAUCCGGAAUUAUUGGGCGUAAAGAGCUCGUAGGCGGUUUGUCGCGUCUGCCGUGAAAGUCCGGGGCUCAACUCCGGAUCUGCGGUGGGUACGGGCAGACUAGAGUGAUGUAGGGGAGACUGGAAUUCCUGGUGUAGCGGUGAAAUGCGCAGAUAUCAGGAGGAACACCGAUGGCGAAGGCAGGUCUCUGGGCAUUAACUGACGCUGAGGAGCGAAAGCAUGGGGAGCGAACAGGAUUAGAUACCCUGGUAGUCCAUGCCGUAAACGUUGGGCACUAGGUGUGGGGGACAUUCCACGUUUUCCGCGCCGUAGCUAACGCAUUAAGUGCCCCGCCUGGGGAGUACGGCCGCAAGGCUAAAACUCAAAGGAAUUGACGGGGGCCCGCACAAGCGGCGGAGCAUGCGGAUUAAUUCGAUGCAACGCGAAGAACCUUACCAAGGCUUGACAUGAACCGGAAAGGCCUGGAAACAGGUCCCCCACUUGUGGUCGGUUUACAGGUGGUGCAUGGUUGUCGUCAGCUCGUGUCGUGAGAUGUUGGGUUAAUCCCGCAACGAGCGCAACCCUCGUUCUAUGUUGCCACAC
rnacentral:rRNA from 1 species